rnacentral:rRNA from 1 species
AGUGAACGCUGGCGGUAGGCCUAACACAUGCAAGUCGAACGGCAGCACAGUAAGAGCUCGCUCUUACGGGUGGCGAGUGGCGGACGGGUGAGGAAUACAUCGGAAUCUACUUAUUCGUGGGGGAUAACGUAGGGAAACUGACGCUAAUACCGCAUAUGACCUACGGGUGAAAGCAGGAGAGCUUCGGACCUUGCGCGAUUGAAUGAGCCGAUGUCGGAUUAGCUAGUUGGCUGGGUAAAGGCCCACCAAGGCAACGAUCCGUAGCUGGUCUGAGAGGAUGAUCAGCCACACUGGAACUGAGACACGGUCCAGACUCCUACGGGAGGCAGCAGUGGGGAAUAUUCGACAAUGGGCGAAAGCCUGAUCCAGCCAUACCGCGUGGGUGAAGAAGGCCUUCGGGUUGUAAACCUCUUUUAUUGGGGAAGAAAAGCAGCAGGUUAAUACCCCGCUGUUUUGACGGUACCUAAAGAAUAAGCACCGGCUAACUUCGUG